GCGAGAGUGUUGGAACUGGCAGACAAGCACGUUUCAGAGGCGUGUGCCCAAAAGGCGUACGGGUUCGACCCCCGUUUCUCGCACCA
rnacentral:tRNA from 2 species